rnacentral:lncRNA from 1 species
UAUAGUCUCCCUUGGCCACUGAUGGCGAAAGCAGCACCAACCCAAGUUCUGGCUACUGCAAUACACAUACCAAGAGUAGGGAAUGGAUCACCACAUCAGACCCCAACCAUCCAAAGUGUUUGUUUCUCAACCAACUCAGCUAGAGACCACACCAUGACUGGAAAACCAUGCCAAUGCAUGAAAUGGACAAAAGACAUGAAUAAAUUUAUCAUAUGUAUAUAUUACACAAUUAGAAAUUGAUACUACAGGGUACAGAUGGAACUCUAUGACAAAUUCACAAACAAAUACCCAAACAUCACAGUUACAGAACAACACAUAGUAGAUCAAAGAAGAAUCAUCAUCCA